rnacentral:rRNA from 1 species
UAAGUGAGUGGCGAACGGGUGAGUAAUGAAUGGGCAACGCAUCUCGGACUCAGGGAUAGCGGCGGAGCUUCGGCUCCUUUGCGAAAGUGCCGGUAAUACCUGAUGACCCCACGAAAUCGCAUGGUUUUGUGGGCAAAGGUCUGGGUCCGGGACCGGCCCAUUUCCUAUCAGCUUGUUGGUGAGGUAACGGCUCACCAAGGCUUCGACGGGUAUCCGGCGUGAGAGCGCGACCGGACACAUCGGGACUGAGACACUGCCCGGACACCUACGGGUGGCUGCAGCAACGAAUAUUCCGCAAUGGACGAAAGUCUGACGGAGCGACACCGCGUGCAGGAUGAAGCCCUUCGGGGUGUAAACUGCUGUCAGGGGUAAGGAAAAUUUGACCGACCCCAAAGGAAGUAUCGGCUAAUUCCGUGCCAGCAGCCGCGGUAAUACGGAAGAUACAAGCGUUGUUCGGAAUUAUUGGGCUUAAAGCGCGUGUAGGCGGGACGGUAAGUAUCUUGUGAAAUCCCUCGGCUCAACCGAGGAAUUGCAGGGUAUACUGCCGUUCUUGAGGCAAUCAGGGGCACCCGGAACUCUAGGUGGAGCGGUGAA